rnacentral:lncRNA from 1 species
GGAAACUUUAAAAUUGAAACCGCCGUGGGUUGACCAAGGCGGACGCUCUGGUUUUGGCGGCUGUGUUUUCGUGUGCAGUGGUGUCGUUUACUGAAAACUGGGCGCUGGGUCUCGUUGAGAAGCUGAGCGAAAGAUAUCCCUUCACACUGUCCAAGAGCCCCAUGUAUACAGUGGGAGCCCCUCACACGUGGCCUUACAUCGAGGCUGCCUUGGUGUGACUGCAUCAAGAUUCAUACUGCCAUGAAAGAAAGCUCACCUUUAUUUGAUGAUGGGCAGCUCUGGGGAGAAGAAACUGAAGAUGGAAUUAAACACAAUAAGGUAUAUUGUAUGUUACCAUAAAUGAUAUAGAAAGAGGUUGCUUUGAUAUUUAACUAAAAAUUAUCCUUCUAUAGAACUUUUCCUUUGCUUUCUAAUAGAUUUCUGUGUUUGUUUUUCUUUUUAUACAUACUUUAUUCACUUUAUUUUUUCUUGGAUAAAUACUCUUAUCAAGUAGCCAUAGCCAGAGCCUGGGUCUUCUGAACAGAGGUUCUGCUCUGGUGUGGGUUUUCACAAGAUGGUCAGUGAAUUCCUGAUAAGAAGACUUGGUGAGUACAGUCUCUUUCCAGAGGUCGGGGGUCAGGUAGCUCUAGGUUUUGGAGAUGCCAUCAAAGGUGACCUUGGUAAAGUUGCAAGGCUCUCACUAUAUGUCCUUGACUGUCCUAGAGCUCUCUAUGUAGACCAGGCUGACUCCUAACUCACAGGAGUCCCCCUACCUCUGGCUUGCAAAUGCUGGAAUGAAUGAAAUGAACAAUCAUUCUCAAACAAAAUACAU